GAUGAACGCUGGCGGCGUGCCUAAUACAUGCAAGUCGAGCGAACAGACGAGGAGCUUGCUCCUCUGCCGUUAGCGGCGGACGGGUGAGUAACACGUGGAUAACCUACCUAUAAUACUGGGAUCACUUCGGGCAACCGGAGCUAAUACCGGAUAAUAUAUUUAACCGCAUGGUUCAAUAGUGAAAGACGGUUUUGCUGUCACUUAUAGAUGGUUCCGCGCCGCAUUAGCUAGUUGGUAAGGUAACGGCUUACCAAGGCGACGAUGCGUAGCCGACCUGAGAGGGUGAACCGCCACACUGGAACUGAGACACGGUACAGACUCCUACGGGAGGCAGCAGUAGGGAAUCUUCCGCAAUGGGCGAAAGCCUGACGGAGCAACGCCGCGUGAGUGAUGAAGGUCUUCGGAUCGUAAAACUCUGUUAUUAGGGAAGAACAAAUGUGUAAGUAACUAUGCACGUCUUGACGGUACCUAAUCAGAAAGCCACGGCUAACUACGUG
rnacentral:rRNA from 1 species